AGAUGUGAGGGCGACCUGGCUGCGACAUCUGUCACCCCAUUGAUCGCCAGGGUUGAUUCGGCUGAUCUGGCUGGCUAGGCGGGUGUCCCCUUCCUCCCUCACCGCUCCAUGUGCGUCCCUCCCGAAGCUGAGCGCUCGGUCGAAGGGGACGACCUUCCCCAUAGAGGAGAGGACCGUUCUUCGGUCAAGGGUAUACGAGUAGCUGCGCUCCCCUGCUAGAACCUCCAAAUAAGCCCUCAAAAAAUAAGAAAUAGAGCUACCCUGUAAUCUAGCAAUUGCAUUACUAGGUAUUUACUCAAU
rnacentral:snRNA from 1 species